GAGUUUGAUCCUGGCUCAGGACGAACGCUGGCGGCGCGCCUAACACAUGCAAGUCGAACGAGCGAGAGAGAGCUUGCUUUCUCGAGCGAGUGGCGAACGGGUGAGUAACGCGUGAGGAACCUGCCUCAAAGAGGGGGACAACAGUUGGAAACGACUGCUAAUACCGCAUAAGCCCACAGCUCGGCAUCGAGCAGAGGGAAAAGGAGCAAUCCGCUUUGAGAUGGCCUCGCGUCCGAUUAGCUAGUUGGUGAGGUAACGGCCCACCAAGGCGACGAUCGGUAGCCGGACUGAGAGGUUGAACGGCCACAUUGGGACUGAGACACGGCCCAGACUCCUACGGGAGGCAGCAGUGGGGAAUAUUGCACAAUGGGGGAAACCCUGAUGCAGCGACGCCGCGUGGAGGAAGAAGGUCUUCGGAUUGUAAACUCCUGUUGUUGGGGAAGAUAAUGACGGUACUCAACAAGGAAGUGACGGCUAACUACGUGCCAGCCGCCGCGGUAAUUC
rnacentral:rRNA from 1 species